UUUCUUAUCUACUUCUAUGUUUUCUUUGUUAGUAGAGUAUAAAUCAUAAUGACAAAGGUUGUCUCUUUGUCACAAACCAUCAUAAAUAAGCCCAAAGGACAGGCCAUAAAAAUGUAAGAAAUUCUUAGAUUAAAAAGCAUGAGUAAUGCUUCUACCUACAUGGCAGGCACAGGUAAAAGUACACUUGGCAACUGGUAAAUUAUUAACACUUUUCUACCAAGGAUUUCCUCCUUCCUUAGUAUCUCUGUGAUUAAUAGAUAGUGAAUUUAAGAAUUAGAAGAUGUAAAACAUAAUAAGUUUUUUUGUGAUCAUGUAUUGGGAAGAAAUUAAGGAAACAUUUUGCGUAACAUUCAAGGGGUCAGGGGAGCAAAGUGCUAGAACUUUUGGGAACAGAUUUCAUAUUUUCUUUGAAGAAAUAAUUCAAGGAGGCUUAAAGGGAAUAAGAAUGCAACAAUUAAUACAUAAUAAAUAGUUGAAUAAAGAAUAAUGAAUGCAACUACCUUUUACUUUCCUUGAAUUUUAGUUUUUCUUCUUUUGGAAGCCUCUAAUGGUUGUCAUUCAUUCAUUUAUUCGGCAUUUACUGAAAACCCAAAAUAUGCCAAGUAGGGGCUACAGACACAAUAGUGAACAGGCAGACAGGGCCAGUCCUUACGGAGAUCAUGAGCUCGGCACAGAUGGGCAGAGGCAGAGCUGGGGAUGGCCUGGUAGGGGAAAUACAUGAAAACCAAUCAGUGCUAGGUGUCCUGGCAGUGGGAGCCUAACCCAUAACCAGGGAAUAGUUAGGGCUUCCAGGAGAAGGUGUAGCUGUGUGAAGGAGAUGGAGGUGAGGGCAGAGAGGAGAGACGGGACAUGUCCUAGGCAGAAGGAAGGGUGUGCGCUAAGCUUUGGAGGGAAAUAGGAGUGACCUGUUCUGAUGACUCGCUAGAAAGAUUGGAGCUUCUAUGAACAUUUGAUGAGGUAAUAACCAUUAUCAGUGGAAUACUCACUGCUUUCAGGUCUGUUUUAGAGAUUUCCAAUAUAGCAUCUCACUGAAUUACCCUGAAAACCCAAGUGGUAUUAGCCCAAUUUAUGUAUGAAGAUAUUGAAACUCAGCAGAAAUAAGCCUCCUCCCAGGUUACACAUGGGUGACAGUUGCUGGGCUGGGAACCUCUGUCCCUAUGACACCAAAGCUUGUGCUUUUUACAGAGUAUGACCUUGUGUAAGUUUUCCACUCUGAGCCCUGCAAGGAAAUUCCAAAUUUUAAUUUUAUUCUAGCUAAUUAGGAGCUAUCCAGUUUUGUGAACCUUGUCUUCGUUUGCCACCUGAGCGCAAAUUAGCUUAAGUGGGCUACUCUUGAGAUGGACCCGCAGAGAUGUACUCCUGUUCAUAAUAUGUCUCCAAGAGUAGAAUUGUAUGAAUCCACGUAUAUACCCAUCAAAGACUUCACUACGUUUUUCUUUGCAAGGAAUAUUGAGCACAUAUUAGAGCAAUUAAUAUAAAAGUGUAUGUUGAUCUUACAACAACCAAUGUGGGGAGCGAAAAAGACCCUAUGACAUAAAGGAGGUGCUGCAGUGGAAGCAAAUGCUGUUCUUUUUCUUCGGCAACGGCUCAGGAAGAACAAAAUGAAUGAAGUACGGGCUGCCCUCGGUGACUUUUUGGCAGAGAUGGCCAAGGGGGUGGGACUGAACUUUAAAACAUCUGAUCUGUUUGUGGCUGUGUUCUGUGAACGGUGCUGAUGUUUAUAGGUCUGUUACUAGGCGAUAACUCUCCCUGCCUCAGCAGGGUUAAGCCCUGGGGUGAUGUGAGAACACCAGUUCUUGGAAACCACCUUUCACAAUCUUUCAACGAGAGGGCACGCAUUGACCAGUCAGCACAGCCUUCCAAUGCCAAAGAGACCUGGUGAGAGCCUGGAAGGACACCAGCACCUUCGGCAGCAAAAGGCUUGUCUAAGUGGAAAUGGCCUUUGGCGCCCGUUAGCUUGAGGUUGACCAGGCAUCUCUGUCCCUGGAGGGUGAUAUCGCAGAGUAAGCCAUAAACCUUGGCUGGAGCCCUCCAGCAGGUGGCGGGACCUGACCGGCAGAGCCUGAAGGCUGCUGAUUGUCAUCUCUACGAAGCAGGUGACUGAAUAUGGAGUUUGAUAAAUGCAAGAAGUCAAAGCCAACAUCUGAGGAAAUUUCAGCUGGGAUGCUGAUGCAAUCUCUCUUAGAUAAAAUACUUGCUUUGGUUCUAUUUCAUGCUCCUACCAAGUAGGUGAAAUUCUAAGGAUUUAGACACCAUUACCCCAGAGCUCCCAGAAUAAAAUUCCAGUCUGAAAUUACAGUUGAUUGCCACUGGGAGGCCCUGGUGAUCUGCAAAAUGAAAUUUCCUUCUGAAUAAAUAAGUGCAAAUAAAAGAAA